AGCAGGAAGGAUCCCAGCCACCACCACCUCCUCCACCACCUCCUCCUCCUCCACCACCUCCACCUCCUCCUCCUCCACCUCCUCCACCACCUCCACCACCUCCUCCACCGGCCUGCAUGCUCACGGGUAAAAGAGGAGUUCACAGGGUGGAGGAGAGACACAGCCGCUUUAAAGGUGGCUACGCCUCCUGCACACCGCUUAGUUUUCUAUACAGCACCUGUGCCCCUGCGGUGGGGGAGUUCCGGGAAAGAGGAAACCCCCGGGGCAGCCAGGCACCUCGCAGAUGAAAGACGCUGCAAUCAAGCUGACACCACGAGACGAGUUUCACGUCUGCACGGACGUCACCGCAUGAGACGGGGACUCGUGUUGUGGUCCACCGGAGAGCGGUGGAAACCAGGAGGCCGGGAGUAGAGUUUCACCAGGAGGCAACUCGAGCAUCCUGAGUUACUAAAUCAUUAAUAAUGAAGGGAUGCUUUACGAGAGCCACGCGGAGCUUUG